rnacentral:rRNA from 1 species
AUGCCAUCCACAGUUGACUCUCAUGUCACAAUGGCUGGUGGCCCAGAGUCUGCUAUUGCAACCGUUGUGCGAGCUGGCCUGCCACCUAGGCGGCAUAGCCCCCGUAAGAAUCCUACACAGGUAUCCAAUGAACCAGAGGUGGUUAAGGGCAGCAGAGGUGACUUUGGUUACGUGCCUGCUUCCACACUGUUCCCACCUUCUGCCAAAAGCAAUGUAGCCGAGAAGACGGAAGUUCCAGUACAACAGAUGCAGCCGGUAAGCCGUGCACUACUGAAGGAGGUGGACGUUCAGAGCAGACUGGAUCUUUUGCCACCAUGGAGAACACCAGCUUAA